rnacentral:miRNA from 1 species
UUCCCUCUCUGCACAGCGCCUCUUCAGCGAAGCGGGAGGAGAAACGGAGCCCCUUCUGUUUCUCCUCCCGCUUUGCUGGAGAGGCGCUGCGCAGAGAGGGA